ensembl:lncRNA
AUAGGCUGAUGUUGCCAACCAAGUUCAUUCCCAUUCAAAUCUCACUUCAUUUCCACAACCGCACUGUUUUUUUAUGAAGACAUUCAUUGCGAUAACAGUUUGUGUGUGUGUUAUUUCACCCCUGUAAAAGAGGGAUUGUGAAAGGCAAUUGGCAACUGAAUUCUAUCAAAUAAUGCCCCACAGUUAGUAAUGGUGCUUGCAGAAAUGUUGUUUACAUAUUUCCCCUCGCUUACACUCAAAAAACACAAAGACUCUCAGAGCGCUGUUGCCCAUGGUCAUUUUAGUUUAAAUGCUACAGGUAUCAUGCUCUUACAGACUUUCAUGAGAAAUAUAGAUUCAACAACCAUGCAUUAUUUGGCUUAGAAAUACUAUGCACAGAUAUUUGUUCUGGAUAAUGCUACAUGAAAAGUAGUGAAGAAAGAUCAGAUUGAAGUAAAUAAAAAACGUUGUUUGGCCAGAGACGUGUGCAGUGACGCCUAGAAAUCAGGCUAUGGGGAAAUAUGUAUAGAGCAGGGAUGAGAGGCUUGUGAUCGCUGGACAAACACACAGCAAUUAUUCUGAGGUAGCUGAUAGUGUAUGUACACAGACAAUCACACAUACAAAUCGAAUGUUAUUGGUCACAUACACAUACAGUAUAUCACAAAAGUGAGUACACCCCUCACAUUUUUGUAAAUAUUUGAGUAUAUCUUUUCAUGUGACAACACUGAAGAAAUGACACUUUGCUACAAUGUAAAGUAGUGAGUGUACAGAUUGUAUAACAGUGUAAAUUUGCUGUCCCCUCAAAAUAACUCAACACACAGCCAUUAAUGUCUAAACCGCUGGCAACAAAAGUGAGUACACCCCUAAGUGACAAUGGCCUCCUCAAGGUUGAAGAGGCGCUGUUGCGCCUUCUUCACCACACUGUCUGCGUGGGUGGACCAUUUCAGAUGGUCAGUGAUGUGUACGCCAAGGAACUUGAAGCUUUCAAAUUCUCCACUGUAGUCCCAUCGAUGUGGAUGGGGGGGUGCUCCCUCUGCUGUUUCCUGAAGUCCACGAUCAGCUCCUUCGUUUAGUUGACACUACUAAUGACCAUCAACAGCAUCAGAGCUUGGAGAAGCCUAAUUACCGUGGAAUUUGACUUCCUUCAUGACUCGUGACCGCCGGUGUGGCGUUAAUAUGGUCACCGUAACAGCCCUAGGUAUUCCUAAUGUUUUGUACGCUCAGUGCACAUACACACACACACACGCACAGAGACGUGCGUACAGACACACACACAGUUGUCAUUAUCACUAUACAGUAUUAUUAAACGUUAGGGGUUUUAUCUGAUAAACAAGUACACACACGCGCAAGAUACCUUCCGGUAAAACACAACACAUUGUCUUGCUUUCGAAGCUAAUUAAUAUCAGCAGCAAAUACAUUAAAUAUCCUGAACCUUUAAACCCUUAAGGAACAGAAUCCAUAGUGUGUCUGCGUGAACAUUAUUUUUUUCCAGGAACUACCUGUACAAUUAAGCAAAGCAUCUUUCUCUUAGCUCUAAUGAAUUUAAAUAUUUCAACAGCCACAAUGAGACUUCUGAGCAGACUAACGGGAGAUUAGAAUAAACCUAAUUAAAUAUUGAUGCCUUUUAAAUAAACACUGUAAUUUGGUAUGCAGCCAUAGUUUGCAAGUUAAAAAAAAGAGUUUCAGCUGAAAUGUUUUGCUCAUUAGUUGUGCAAAUGUUGAACUUGGGAUGGGGGUGGGGAAAUGGAGGGAGUGAGGGGAGAGAGGGAGGAGUGAGGGGUGGGGAAAUGGAGGGAGUGAGGAGAGGGAGAGAGGGAGGAGUGAGGAGAGGGAGAGAGGGAGGUGUGAGGGGUGGGGAAAUGGAGGGAGUGAGGAUAGGGAGAGAGGGAGGAGUGAGGGGAGGGAGGGAGGGAGGAGUGAGGGGAGG